GUACUAUGACGGCCGCACACGCAGCUUCCUUAAUAUUAAACAAAUGUUUCAAAGUACAAACGCUCGGGGCCAGAACGUGUACACCCAGGGUAGGUGGCAGAAAGGAAACCACGUUUCGGCCGCUGCCCGAGUGCUCCCGGGGCGGGCGUCCCUGCACCCCACCCCGGCACGCGCGCGGGCUGCGCCCGCAGGGGGCACGGAGGCGUACAGGUGGGUACCCGCCCGGCUCCACAGCGACUGCUCCCUGCCCCUCGCAGAAGGCCGACGCGCGCUCGCUGAUGCGCCUCCCGCUUGCCCCAUUCCUCUCGGUGACAUCUUAUAUAAGAACCCGAGCGAAUCAAAACGGAAGCAGUGCGCGCUACCAAGGCCCGUCCCCCGGCCGGGGCAGAUGCUCCCGCUCCCAGCCCACGGCCUCCGAACUAGGCGCCGCGGACGCAGGGCUCCCGGGCGGGGGAAGGGCCUGAGCGCCGCCUCGGAUCGUCCCUCCUCCGCGAGGGCGCUGCUGUCGCCGGUCCCUGUCAGGAAGCCGCGAGCGUCACAAACUGCGUCAGCGUCUUCCAACACAUUUCAUGGUUUCCCUCCAGCCCCGGAGCCACCGCUCCGGUGUCCCGGCCGCUGGCAGGCGCCCCGUGGGGAGGAGAAAGUUCCUCGGGGCCCUCCCCGCGCCCGGCCCCGCCGCGCCUCCGGCCCCUCUCCGCGCGCCUCGCGCCCCGCCGCGCAGCCCACCAGCCUCGCCGGUGGCAGGUCGGGCAACUUGGGUCCCGGCGCCGCGCCACACAGCCCACUCCCGACAGCCUGGUUCGCGCGGCGCCCCUGGCCACCUCCCCACCCCGGCCCAAAGGAAAACAGCCACGCCAGAAACUUCCCCGGGCCGCGCCGAACGGGGAAGCCGCCUGGGUCCCCUCGCAUCGCUCUUACCUUGCUCUCGAGAGGCCACGAUCCGGGCGGGGCGCGUGCUCCGCGAGUGCGCGCGCGUGGGGCGGUACAGGCAUUGUGUCUCAGUGGCAAGAAAAGUAACUAAGACAGAACACUGCAGGUGAGAGAAGCUGAGCCGGUCCCAGCACCCGGAAGGAAGCUCCCCUGCCACCAUCCCAUGCUCCUAGGGCAGAGAAGCUGAGCCGUGCGGGCACCAGAAGCACACCCCUCCCCUGCCCAUGGAAAUGAGAAGACAUGUAAACAAGCCUCAAAAACAGACUUCUGGAUCACCUACAGCAACCCCAAAGGGAAAUGAGAUGGAACAGUCUGACACUCAACCACCUGGACUCUCUGAACUGGCAACAAAAGAGGAUCUGGGAAAAAUGAAAUCAGAAAUAAUUACUCAGAUAAUGGCAAAGAUUGUGCUCAUGGUGCAAGACAUGAUUAAUAAAUCUAGAGAGGACACAGAUAAAAACAUAGAGGAUCUGAGGAACAUGAUGGAAUCCCAACAUAGGAAACAAAUGGAAUCCAUAAAACAGAUGCAAACAGAUUUCCAGCAGUUUAAAAACUCCAUCGAAAGUCUGUGCAGCAGAAUGAACCAAUAUGAGGAUAGAAUUUCACAUAUAGAAGAUAAGAUUGCAAUUAGUGACCAGGAAAAGAAAAAUUGCUUUAAAACUGUAAGGGAACACGAGAAAUCAAUCCAGCAGCUGCUAGACGAUGCAAAGAAGAAUAACAUAAGAUUGAUUGGAGUCAAUGAAGAAAGAGGAGAGAGUGCAGAUGACAUAAAAAAACUGUUCACAGAAGUGAUGGCAGAAAACUUCCCAAGCAGGGGAAAAGAACUUGACAUACAGAUAAGUGAGGCAUAUAGGACUCCAGCUGGCCUUGAUUAAAAAAAAAUCUACAAAUAGGCAUAUAAUAGUUAGGAUUCCAGAAAUCCAACAGAAGAACAAAAUUCUACAAGCAGUUAGAGAAAAGAAACAAAUCACAUACAAAGGAAAGCCCAUCAGAAUCACAGCGGACUUCUCAAUGCAAACCCUCAAGGCAAGAAGGGCUUGGAGUGAUGCAUUUCAAGCCCUAAAGGAAAACAGCCUCCAACCCAGAUUGAUGUGCCCUGUAAAACUGUCUUUCAAAGUUGAUGGAGAAAUAAGAUACUUUCAUGAUAAAGAGCACCUCAGGAACUUCAUGAAUACCAAACCAGCACUCCAAAAAAUUUUGGUCAAUACUCUAGGAAAAGACAAUGAGUAUCACAACCCCAGGAAACCCAGCAGAAUGAAUCCAUUGGGUGUGACAAAUUAAACGCAAAGGGGGAGAAUCCAACAAAAAGAAAAAGUCAUGACAAGGCUUUUAAAACUUUUAACUUCAUCUCCCUAAUGAGUGUAUAAUUCAAUCUUGUUAUUGUACUGAUUAGUAUUUUUCUGAUUCUAGAGUUGCACACCAUUCCUUGAGCUAUACUGGCUAUUUAUCAACUUCUUAUGUCUACAUUUUAAUUGGGUUGUCUAUUAAUGAGCUCUAAGAAUUCUUUAUAUAGUCUGCUCAUAGGUUAUACGCAUUGUAAAUAUGGUCUGUUUAAGGACUACUUUUCAUUUUAAUGGUGU
ensembl:lncRNA